AGUUUCUCUUCUCGCCAUCGAUUGAU
rnacentral:sRNA from 1 species